CAAUAGCGUAUAUUAAAGUUGUUGCGGUUAAAAAGCUCGUAGUUGGAUUUCUGUUGAGGACGACCGGUCCGCCCUCUGGGUGAGUAUCUGGCUCGGCCUUGGCAUCUUCUUGGAGAACGUAACUGCACUUGACUGUGUGGUGCGGUAUCCAGGACUUUACUUGAGGAAAUUAGAGUGUUCAAGCAGGCGUCGCCUUGAAUACAUUAGCAUGGAAUAAUGAUAUAGGCGACUGAGUCUAUUUUGUUGGUUUCUAGGCUCAGUUGAAUGAUUAAUAGGGACAGUUGGGGGCAUUCGUAUUAUGACGUCAGAGGUGGAAUUCUUGGAUUGUCAUACGACGAACUACUGCGAAAGCAUUUGCCAAGGAUGUUUUCAUUGAUCAAGAACGAAAGUAAGGGGAUCGAAGA
rnacentral:rRNA from 1 species